UUGUAAUGAUGUCUUGCCAUGCUAAUACCGAGAGAUCAGAAUAUUUCAUUUCUGGAUUUCGAUGAGUUAAAUCUCUCGAUUAUACUGAAUUCACUGAAAACU